rnacentral:rRNA from 1 species
AUUGAACGCUGGCGGCAGGCCUAACACAUGCAAGUCGAACGAGUGGCGGACGGGUGAGUAAUGUCUGGGAAACUGCCCUAUGGAGGGGGAUAACUACUGGAAACGGUAGCUAAUACCGCAUACCAUCGGAUGUGCCCAGAUGGGAUUAGGUAGUAGGUGGGGUAACGGCUCACCAAGGCGACGAUCCCUAGCUGGUCUGAGAGGAUGACCAGCCACACUGGGACUGAGACACGGCCCAGACUCCUACGGGAGGCAGCAGUGGGGAAUAUUGCACAAUGGGCGCAAGCCUGAUGCAGCCAUGCCGCGUGAAUGAAGAAGGCCUUCGGGUUGUAAAGUACUUUCGGUGGGGAGGCGUUACUCGCAGAAGAAGCACCGGCUAACUCCGUGCCAGCAGCCGCGGUAAUAC